rnacentral:rRNA from 1 species
UGAGGAACAUGACCUUCGGCGGGGGAUAGCCGGCCCAACGGCCGGGUAAUACCGCGUACGACCACUUUGGGACAUCCCUCGGUGGUGAAAGCAGCAAUGCGCCGAUGGAGUGCCUCGCGGCCUAUCAGCUAGUUGGUGAGGUAACGGCUCACCAAGGCGACGACGGGUAGCUGGUCUGAGAGGAUGAUCAGCCACACUGGGACUGAGACACGGCCCAGACUCCUAGGAGG